UGCCCAGCAACUCCUAUCCCUACCUCCUCGUGGUACUGGCCAGGGUACGAGUAACCUUAGGGAAGA
rnacentral:ribozyme from 1 species